rnacentral:rRNA from 1 species
ACCCAGACUCCUACGGGAGGCAGCAGUGGGGAAUAUUGCACAAUGGGGGAAACCCUGAUGCAGCGACGCCGCGUGAGUGAAGAAGUAUUUCGGUAUGUAAAGCUCUAUCAGCAGGGAAGAAAAUGACGGUACCUGACUAAGAAGCCCCGGCUAACUACGUGCCAGCAGCCGCGGUAAUACGUAGGGGGCAAGCGUUAUCCGGAUUUACUGGGUGUAAAGGGAGCGUAGACGGCGGCGCAAGCCAGAUGUGAAAGCCCGGGGCUCAACUCCGGGACUGCAUUUGGAACUGUGUGGCUGGAGUGUCGGAGAGGCAGGCGGAAUUCCUAGUGUAGCGGUGAAAUGCGUAGAUAUUAGGAGGAACACCAGUGGCGAAGGCGGCCUGCUGGACGAUGACUGACGUUGAGGCUCGAAAGCGUGGGGAGCAAACAGGAUUAGAUACCCUUGUA